UGUGUGUGUGUGUGUGUGUGUGUGUGUGUAGAGAGAGUAUUCACACUCACAUAUACAUACACACACACU